rnacentral:rRNA from 1 species
GACGAACGCUGGCGGCGUGCUUAACACAUGCGAGUCGAACGGAAAGGCCCUGCUUUUGUGGGGUGCUCGAGUGGCGAACGGGUGAGUAACACGUGAGUAACCUGCCCUUGACUUUGGGGUGACUUCAGGAAACUGGGGCUAAUACCGGAUAGGAGAUGCUGCCGGGUGGUGGGGGGGGGAUAGUUUCGGCGGUUGGGGAUGGACUAGCGGCUUAUCGGCUUGGUGGUGGGGUAGGGGCUUACCAAGGCUUUGACGGGUAGCCGGCCUGGGAGGGUGACCGGCCACAUUGGGCCUGCGAUACGGCCCAGCCUCCUACGGGAGGCAGCAGUGGGGAAUAUUGUACAAUGGGCGGAAGCCUGAUGCAGCAACGCCGCGGGCGGGAUGACGGCCUGCGGGUAGUAAACCGCUUUCGCCUGAGACGAAGCGUGAGUGACGGUAAUGGGUAAAGAAGCACCGGCUAACUACGUG